GACGAACGCUGGCGGCGUGCUUAACACAUGCAAGUCGAACGGAAAGGCCCUGCUUUUGUGGGGUGCUCGAGUGGCGAACGGGUGAGUAACACGUGAGUAACCUGCCCUUGACUUUGGGAUAACUUCAGGAAACUGGGGCUAAUACCGGAUAGGAGCUCCUGCUGCAUGGUGGGGGUUGGAAGGUUUCGGCGGUUGGGGAUGGACUCGCGGCUUAUCAGCUUGUUGGUGGGGUAGUGGCUUACCAAGGCUUUGACGGGUAGCCGGCCUGAGAGGGUGACCGGCCACAUUGGGACUGAGAUACGGCCCAGACUCCUACGGGAGGCAGAAGUGGGGAAUAUUGCACAAUGGGCGGAAGCCUGAUGCAGCAACGCCGCGUGCGGGAUGACGGCCUUCGGGUUGUAAACCGCUUUCGCCUGUGACGAAGCGUGAGUGACGGUAAUGGGUAAAGAAGCACCGGCUAACUACGUG
rnacentral:rRNA from 1 species